ACAACAUUCGGACCGUUGGUUUACUGAGCAAUAUCACCUGCUAGGUAGAAGAUCUUCCUUUUGUCGU
rnacentral:pre_miRNA from 1 species